GGAUAACAGGGUUCCUUGUUGGGGAAAUGAAAAUGUUGUAAAAUCAAUUGAAUUGUAGUGAUGGAUGCACCGUUCGAUAUGUUGUCAUUACCAUGGGGAUUACAUGAAACAUCCUGAAUUUAUAGCAAACCAUUUUAAACUGGUUCUCCGAGGUUCCCGUGGAGCCACACCACCUCCUGUCUUGGCACUUCGUAGUCGUCUCAUCGAGUCCAAGGCUGCCUCCCAAGGGUCUGGUUGGUACACCGUGAAGUUGAUUCCUGCCUUAAGCCUAGCUUUGCAAGCAGUUGUCCUAUAUUCUCACCAGUCACAUUUUUGGUACUAGAACGGCGCGUUUUAUGGUGCACUCAUAAGUGGACGCUGAAAUCACAACCUGGCCAUUUGGAUGUUCAACCAAUGCUUUAUGCUGCUGAGUCCUUGGAACUCACCACCCGUGCCAGAACUCACUGGAGCUGAGUCUUCUGCUAUUGCUGGUGGGAGAUCAAUUAUCAACAUAUUCUUCCUUCUUUCUACCCUCUUCAGUAGCUUUUAGGACCUUUUCUUUGUUUUUUCUGCAGUUUUGUUAUGAUGGGUCUUGGUAUGGAUGGAUUUAUUGUAUUGGGGAUCGUGCCUCCUGACUCUAAAGGGUCCUGUGUCUAUUUUCAUU